rnacentral:rRNA from 1 species
UACAGAGGGGGCAAGCGUUAUUCGGAAUUAUUGGGCGUAAAGGGCGCGUAGGCGGCUUUGCAAGUGACGGGUGAAAUCCCUCGGCUUAACCGAGGAACUGCCUGUCAAACUGCAUGGCUUGAGACCGGGAGAGGUGAGUGGAAUUCCCAGUGUAGCGGUGAAAUGCGUAGAUAUUGGGAGGAACACCAAUGGCGAAGGCAGCUCGCUGGAACGGUACUGACGCUGAGACGCGAAAGCGUGGGGAGCGAACAGG